rnacentral:rRNA from 1 species
UACGUAGGGUGCGAGCGUUGUCCGGAUUUAUUGGGCGUAACGAGCUCGUAGGCGGUGUGUCGCGUCGGCCGUGAAAACCUGCAGCUUAACUGUGGGCUUGCGGUCGAUACGGGCAUCACUGGAGUUCGGCAGGGGAGACUGGAAUUCCUGGUGUAGCGGUGAAAUGCGCAGAUAUCAGGAGGAACACCGGUGGCGAAGGCGGGUCUCUGGGCCGAUACUGACGCUGAGGAGCGAAAGCGUGGGGAGCGAACAGG